rnacentral:rRNA from 1 species
AGUAGUUUGAUCCGUGGCUCAGGACGAACGCUGGCGGCGCGCUUAACACAUGCAAGUCGAACGGUGAACCGGGCUUCGGCCCGGGGAUCAGUGGCGAACGGGUGCGUAACACGUGGGCAACCUGCCCCUCACUCUGGGAUAACCCCGGGAAACCGGAGCUAAUACCGGAUACUCCGACCGGUCCGCAUGGUCUGGUCGGGAAAAGUCCGCUGGUGAGGGAUGGGCCCGCGGCCUAUCAGCUUGUUGGUGGGGUAACGGCCCACCAAGGCGACGACGGGUAGCUGGUCUGAGAGGACGACCAGCCACACUGGGACUGAGAUACGGCCCAGACUCCUACGGGAGGCAGCAGUGGGGAAUCUUGCGCAAUGGGCGAAAGCCUGACGCAGCGACGCCGCGUGGGGGAUGAAGGCCCUCGGGUUGUAAACCCCUUUCGGCAGGGACGAAGCGAUCGUGACGGUACCUGCAGAAGAAGCCUCGGCUAACUACGUG